GCGCCCGUAGCUCAGCUGGAUAGAGCGCCGGACUUCGAAUCCGUAGGCCGGGGGUUCGAAUCCCUCCGGGCGUGCCA
rnacentral:tRNA from 3 species